AGCGAACGCUGGCGGCAGGCCUAACACAUGCAAGUCGAACGAACCUUUCGGGGUGAGUGGCGGACGGGUGAGUAACACGUGGGAACGUGCCUUUAGGUUCGGAAUAACUCAGGGAAACUUGUGCUAAUACCGAAUGUGCCCUUCGGGGGAAAGAUUUAUCGCCUUUAGAGCGGCCCGCGUCUGAUUAGCUAGUUGGUUGAGGUAAUGGCUCACCAAGGCGACGAUCAGUAGCUGGUCUGAGAGGAUGAUCAGCCACAUUGGGACUGAGACACGGCCCAAACUCCUACGGGAGGCAGCAGUGGGGAAUCUUGCGCAAUGGGCGAAAGCCUGACGCAGCCAUGCCGCGUGAAUGAUGAAGGUCUUAGGAUUGUAAAAUUCUUUCACCGGGGACGAUAAUGACGGUACCCGGAGAAGAAGCCCCGGCUAACUUCGUG
rnacentral:rRNA from 1 species